UGCUCUUACUUCAAAGACACCUGCCUUGC
rnacentral:piRNA from 1 species